CCUACGGGAGGCAGCAGUGAGGAAUAUUGGUCAAUGGACGAGAGUCUGAACCAGCCAAGUAGCGUGAAGGAUGACUGCCCUAUGGGUUGUAAACUUCUUUUAUAUGGGAAUAAAACGUUCCACGUGUGGGAUUUUGUAUGUACCCUAUGAAUAAGGAUCGGCUAACUCCGUGCCAGCAGCCGCGGUAAUACGGAGGAUCCGAGCGUUAUCCGGAUUUAUUGGGUUUAAAGGGAGCGUAGGUGGGUUGUUAAGUCAGUUGUGAAAGUUUGCGGCUCAACCGUAAAAUUGCAGUUGAAACUGGCAGUCUUGAGUACAGUAGAGGUGGGCGGAAUUCGUGGUGUAGCGGUGAAAUGCUUAGAUAUCACGAAGAACUCCGAUUGCGAAGGCAGUUCACUGGACUGCAACUGACACUGAGGCUCGAAAGUGUGGGUAUCAAACAGGAUUAGAUACCCGAGUAGUC
rnacentral:rRNA from 1 species